UCUUUUUUUUCAUGCACAGGCUUUUUCUGGUAAGGACCGCUGGGAUUGAACAGAAGCUUCCGGUAAAUAAGGGCCCCGUCGGCAAGACAGCAUACUGCUGUCACAAGUGCAAACACCUGGAAAGAAAGACAAGUGUCACUGCCCUAACCAUGGUCCCCACUCCUGUCAUUCACACAAGUUUUAAGUGGUCUGCCCACCAGAUUCCUCUCUUGCUAGGGUACUCGGAUUGCUCCCUGUGCUUCAUCUAAUACUAACAUGGAGAGACUUCAGAGAUCAUCUUAUUCUCCUCAUUGCUAAGUUUUCUAAAUACUUGCCUAUAGAAAGAGAAAAGAUAAUUUAAGUGAGCAGAAAAAUAAUAAAGCAGUGUGGGCUCUGAAAUCCA
ensembl:lncRNA novel transcript, antisense to CKLF